UUCAUGUUAAAUGUUGGCAAUUAUUAUUAUUAUUUUUUUAUUGUAAAUGCUCUGCAAUCUGAACAAAACUUAUUUGCAGGUAAGAUCCAAUUCAGAGGCCAUCAGUUUUCAACUUCUGGUCUAGAGACUCCCUCACCAGAAUUUCUUGACGCAAUCCUGCACGUUGGACAGGCUUCCUGAGGAGGAUGGUGCCUUGUGGUUUCUUACAGAAUGGAGAGAGCAGCAGCAAAAGAAUAAUACAGCAAUAAGCACUGUCCACUAAGUGAAGAUGAAUGUGAGCCGGGAAAGCAGACGGCCCUGCGGGGAGAGCCAGGAACUGUACCAUCAGAAGGAAGGGUGCCAGCUUGCAGGGGCGAGUGAAUGCAGCCUAUCCCUUGUCCAAGCCUCAGUAUCACCCCCUUUUGUACCCCAAGGAUGCUCCUUCAACUCUCCUAGGUCCUCCAAGUCCUGGGCCUGACCCCAAUACCUGCCCAUACUGACCAGGCGACUGGCUAAAGGAGGUGUAGAAACAGCCCAAGUUGAUGAGGGCAUAGGAGCGGAGGAAAAAGUAAGAGAUAAUGGGAGUAACAGUAUGCAGACCAGCUUUGGGAGAGAUGAAAGGUAAGGGAGUCAGUCUGCAAACUGGAAUCUUGGGAUCUGGGUCUGGAGAGUCAAGAGCAUUAUUAUCUUCUGGCUUCCCUUUCCCCAUACUCCCUAUUCCCUACUCCCUUCUUCACCUUCUACACACUCCACCCUCACUACCACCAAUGUAGCAGACUUUUCAUCUACUUUCAGGACUAGAGAGAUAGAAAAGAGGCUUUGGGGUCCAACCCUAAAAGCUAGAGGUAGGGCAGUGGGGCGGGGCAUGAGGAGAAAGGUGAUUAAUGAAGCUGUGUGUGAGAGUUAGAGGAAUACUCACCAGUAAGGAUGAAAUCAACAGCAGUGAGGAAGGUGAACAGAUAACCUCACACAGGUUCAUUGUUCUUGCCUUAACCUGUCCCUUAAAAGCCAAUGACUGGGUACCGUUUGUCCUGGCACAGCUACUAUAAGAAAGCAUGGUAAUUAUCAGGGGAGGGUCCCAGGAAGAGGAAGAAUGAUAGCUUCUUCCUCCUCUAAAGAGGCAGGAAAGAAUGGGGGAACACAGAGGGAAGAGUUGAGGGAGCUUAAGGAUCUUAACAGGAAGAAAGGAUCGAAGGAGUAGCGUGUGGUAAGAUCUCUGGGAAUGUGCAAUGGGAAAAACAGAGUGAAGAAUGACAGAAGAGUGAUGCCCUCCCCAAAUUUUGCCUUGAUUUAUGGGCAGACUUUUAAUUUUGUUAUGUGAGCUCGGAUUGUCUUUUAAAUAUCAGGCAACCACAGUCAUCACCAUCUAACUCCUGGUUGCUGAGACUGAACCCUUUUUUGCUCCUCUUCAAAAGAUUAGACUCUUGGGCUGUCCUGGUCUACUUACAUUCUCUCCUUUCUCCCAUAAGCCUCUUGCUAAAGUACCAACUAACCUAGAAGGCUUUGGGGGCUGAAACAAAGCAGGAAAGGCAGAGAACAGGGUGGCACUGAAAAUUCCUGCAGACAUCAUGAAACUGAAAGCAGACACCAUGCUCAUGGCCUAAGGAGAAGAGUAGGCAGAGGCAGACAUCACUGUAUUCUGGAAGCAAUGUAUUCCACCCAUAUUUUCACCUCCUAACUUUCCCAGAAGUUGAAGGGAAUAUUAAAUUUUAUCUCAUCUUUGAAGGUUUUACCCUGUCCACAUGCAUCCACUUAAGCAUAUACUGGUUUUGGAGCAUCUGCUCUAUGCCCAGCAGUAGACAAGGUAGGAUUUAUCUCUCGAAUAUCCCCUCUGGUUCACUCACCUGGUAGUGAUUAGAGAGCAUAUAGAGGCAGGACCCUUGCCCUCGACAACUGUUGAAAUCCCAGCCAUACUGGCACUCUGGCCCCAGGCAGCUCUCAUUGUACAACUCAUGCCAGUCCUAUUUCCUGAAAUAUCUCUAGUCAUGCAGGAGCCUAUACCCUACCACCUCAGUGAGGUAGAAACCAGGGCUCCGGGUCAUUCUGCACAGAAGGCAGGAGUGGAGGGCCUUACCCAUAGUGGCAGAGAUGCCCAGGUAGGAAAGUGUGGUUCCUGGGUUGGCAAAGAGGGUUCCUUUGGGGAUAGCUGUAGCAGGGUGCUGGAAACAAAAGUUGUACCAUUAGUGGAGAGAGAAGAGGGGUUAGAGAGUGUGUUCUGUGCCUGGACAUCCUCAUCUUGAGGUCUCCAGAGAUAGUGGUCCCAGUGCGUAUCCCAGUGGCUGAAGAGAAGAUGGAAAACAUACCAAAGAAACUGCCCUUUGGCCCACACCACUGCGGGACCACAUUUUCUAAGAAAAUACUCCCGACAUAAAAGAAUAGAGAGAAAAGAUAGGGUCUUUAGGAGGACCUCCUGGCUUCCCUCCAUUCAGCCAAGAUCAUUACCCCUCUAUUCAGUUUAGUGCCAGUGACUUAGGUGAGGCUGGAAAGAAUAAGAGAAUGCCCAGGCAUUUAUAGGACUCAGAGUGGUCUGAUGGUCAGUUUGUAAAUGUCAUACAGAAUCGCAGGUCAAAGGGUCUUUUCUGAGGAGGUUUGGGCUAAUGUGACAUUCUGAGGCAUUCAUGCCCUUUAACACAUUUCUCAGCCAGCUUGUCUCACUAGGUACUCAAAGAAGCCAGUGGGUUUCGGCUGGGGUUUGUGGGGAGGAAUGCCUCAAGGAGGUAGUUGAUAAAAGAGAGGAGGAUCAGGAAGAAUUUGGUCCUGGAAUAUCAUAGGGUAUCCCACCUCAAAAAAGGAGAAAUGUGAAUCAAAGGGGAGGAAUAAAUACUACUCUACUUCCUCUCAUUGUCUCAUCUUCACUCUCCUCUCCAAUCCUCCAAUUUCCUUUCCUGCCAGCGUCUUUCUAUAAAAGAGUGUGGCUAAAUUUCCUUCUUGCCCCAAACCGCAAAAUGUCCCUUCCUAUGCCAGAGAGAUGAACCUCAAGAUUGUAAAUAUCUGGGGGCAGAAAACAGCAUUUCUCAUCCAGUAGUUUUGACUGGUGCUCACCUCAUUUGGUCCUCAGAAUGAAUCCUUCUUACUUUCACCUUAAAGAAUUGGCAUGUGCAGUCUCUCCAGGCAAAACCAUCUAAUUUCAGGUCUGAGUCCCUGGAAAUCUGCUCUGCCAGCUACACACAUAAACAAAAUCCCAUAGCUCCCCACAUUUGGCCCCUCUCUCAUCUGACUAGCUCUCACAAUCAUCCCCUUGGCCUUCUCACCCCCAUCUCUAUUUCCCCUUGCCUGCCUAAGACUUCCACUGCAUGGAGAGGGUUCUGUGUUGAGCUACUCACCUGCCCGCCCUCUUUCACACUAAUGCCACCCCUCUUACUCAAGUCUUAAAGAACAAUCUUGCUUGGCUCCCCAGUUAAGUCAGGUUGUUAUGUUAAUCUAUCCAUCCUGGACCAGCCUUUAUAUAGGACAGGGAAUCCAGUCCCAGCAGCCUUUGGCCUGUCCUACCUCUCUGGUAGAGGGGAAGGAAGGGUGAUUGCUGCCCCCUUCUCUAAAUGUCUUCUUGAAGAUACCUGGAACUGCAGGGGAAAGUAGUUGCUUGGAUUUAGAGGUCUCAGGAUGAGAAGGGUGUUGUCCCAGGCAGAGUGUGUGGCUGUCAUUGUUCUGCCUCAAACAGAAUGCUUACACGCCCCUACUCCACUGAAGUCCAGGACUCCAGUCCCCGCAGCAGCAAAGAUCAACCCUGCAUUCCAUUUUCUGGUGUCAUCCCAGCGACCAAGUCAUUGCUGUGCUCCAAGAGUCCCAGCUUUAUCCUGCACGGAAAAAUCAACAGUCAAAGCCCCAAACCAACCCAAUGCAUGCUCUACUGCUCUCGCCCCACAUUCCCGCCGGUCUGCACAGCCCAGACUCUUGCCCACCUCCUCCGCCCUAUCGGAUGAACACAGCCUUUGAGGCCUGACUCACUCCACUGGAUCUUCGCAUCCUUGGCAUCCGAAUUUGCCUCGCUCAGCACCAAGACAUGACCUACAGGUGGAAGGGGGAAGAGGUCAUCUCGGGACGGGGCCCAGGGGAUUGGGUGUCUGAGUUCGGGCACCCUGAGCCGAGCCCCAAGCCUGCCAGCACUGGCUAUAAUUAG